UAGUGGCGAACGGGUGAGUAACACGUGGGCAAUCUGCCCUUCACUCUGGGACAAGCCCUGGAAACGGGGUCUAAUACCGGAUAACACCUGCCCGGGCAUCCGGGUGGGUUAAAAGCUCCGGCGGUGAAGGAUGAGCCCGCGGCCUAUCAGCUUGUUGGUGAGGUAGUGGCUCACCAAGGCGACGACGGGUAGCCGGCCUGAGAGGGCGACCGGCCACACUGGGACUGAGACACGGCCCAGACUCCUACGGGAGGCAGCAGUGGGGAAUAUUGCACAAUGGGCGAAAGCCUGAUGCAGCGACGCCGCGUGAGGGAUGACGGCCUUCGGGUUGUAAACCUCUUUCAGCAGGGAAGAAGCGAAAGUGACGGUACCUGCAGAAGAAGCGCCGGCUAACUACGUGCCAGCAGCCGCGGUAAUACGUAGGGCGCAAGCGUUGUCCGGAAUUAUUGGGCGUAAAGAGCUCGUAGGCGGCUUGUCACGUCGGGUGUGAAAGCCCGGGGCUUAACCCCGGGUCUGCAUUCGAU
rnacentral:rRNA from 1 species